UCUUGGAAUGUGGCCACAUGCUGCAAGGAAGCCCAAGCAAACUGUAGAGAUGCCACAUGGACAGAAACCAAGGCCCAUAGCCCCUAGUCCUGACUGAGCUCCCAGCUGGCACCAGCACCAACAUGCCAGCCAUGUGAAUGAACUACCUCCAGUCCCAGUCAAGCCACUCUACCUCACACCAUGUGGAGUAGAGAUGAGCCAUCUCUGUUGAGCACUUCCCAAUCACAGACACCUGUGCCCAGCUGAGACUGCCACCUCCCUACCCAAGGACAGAUAUUCUUCUGGUAAUGACAACCAAGUAAAGUGCAAGUGUUUGGAGCUAAUGGCUGCCUUGUUGCCCAGUGGAAGGUUGUAACUGUACGUUUGGGAGGUUUGUAUUUUUUGGGGAGAUUUAAAAGUAAGAGAAGAAUUCUUCCCUCCCCUCAAGGCUGUGUUGGCAUUUAUUUUUCCUGUCAUGGACAGUUUUUUGUUUCGUUUAUUGUUUGUGCUGUUAUUAUUAUGAGUAUUAUUAUUACUUUCCCUGAGGAGAAUUACACUGGAGCUUAGAAGGAGGGGGAGGUGAGGCUGCAAGGAAGAUAUGUAUGGUAGACCAAAGAAUAGGCCCCAAAUAUGUCCAGGUUCUAGCCCCUGGAACUGGUGACUCUGUCACCUUACAAGGAGAAGGGAAGUUAAAAGGCAAACAUUUUUAGAGUGAAUAGAAAAGUAGGACUCAACUAUAUCCUGUUUGCAAGAGACGCACUUUAAAUAUAAAAACACAAAUACUUUAAAAGCAAAAGAUGAGAAAAUGUGUACCCCAUUGCAAAUAGUAACUAUAAAAAAGCUGAGGGGCUGGCCCCAAGACCCAGUGGUUAAGUUCCCACGCUCCAAUUCAGCAGGCCAGGGUUUUGCUGGUUCAGGUCCUGGGUGCAGACAUGGUGCCGCUCGA